GCAGACAGAAUCCUUCGGGAGGACGUCUGUGGAACGAGCGGCGGACGGGUGAGUAACACGUGGGCAACCUGCCUGUAAGACUGGGAUAACUCCGGGAAACCGGGGCUAAUACCGGAUAACUCAUCGAAUCGCAUGAUUCGAUGUUGAAAGGUGGCAUAUGCUAUCACUUACAGAUGGGCCCGCGGCGCAUUAGCUAGUUGGUGGGGUAACAGCCUACCAAGGCCACGAUGCGUAGCCGACCUGAGAGGGUGAUCGGCCACACUGGGACUGAGACACGGCCCAGACUCCUACGGGAGGCAGCAGUAGGGAAUCAUCCGCAAUGGACGAAAGUCUGACGGUGCAACGCCGCGUGAGUGAGGAAGGUCUUCGGAUCGUAAAGCUCUGUUGUUAGAGAAGAACAAGUGCUGUUCGAAUAGGUCAGCACCUUGACGGUACCUAACCAGAAAGCCACGGCUAACUACGUGCCAGCAGCCGCGGUAAUACGUAGGUGGCAAGCGUUGUCCGGAAUUAUUGGGCGUAAAGCGCGCGCAGGCGGUUCCUUAAGUCUGAUGUGAAAGCCCACGGCUCAACCGUGGAGGGUCAUUGGAAACUGGGGGACUUGAGUACAGAAGAGGAGAGCGGAAUUCCACGUGUAGCGGUGAAAUGCGUAGAUAUGUGGAGGAACACCAGUGGCGAAGGCGG
rnacentral:rRNA from 1 species